UUUGAUACCAAGGCUGGAAGUCAUGAUCUUGCGCCUGCCAGGCAGGUGCUUAUGCUGCUAAGCGAAACCCCUGGCCCUGGGCAUCUUUAAAUCUUGGGUAGAUACACAGUUUUAAGUCUGGAGGGGAAAAAAAGCAAAGAAACAACUAAGUAUGCAUCGGCCAAAUAGUAGAAUUAUUAGGAUAAUUGUGAGCACAAAGAUUUCCACCUAGAGGAGCUAGUGAUGGCUUCCCAUAAGGAGUAAAAAGACAAGACCCAGGGGGAUUUUAGAGUCUGAUGUGUUGUUAAUUUGUUGUCUAAUGUUUUGAAAGCUACUGAGAUAUUAGCAGAAGAAUCAGGAAUGUAUACACAGCACUCAGUUUUUACAGUUGCACAAGUGACCCCUGUGCUGCUGUCAGGAUGUCUGAUACCAUCAGAUUUUAGAGGACAGCCUGUCUCAUUAAUUUUAUUUUUUAUCUAAAAGAAAGAGAUCAGUUGCAGUGUCAUUUAAGACUCAUUGGGUACAGUCAAGGCCUCAAUAUCUAUAUCACAUAACUCUCUGGACAGCAUCUGGUGAUCCCAGUAGGAAGAAUCUGAAAGGAAUCUAGCAUAUUAUUGGUUUCAUCUACAUGAUGCUUUGAGGUUUGGCAUCUUUCGGCAACAACAAUUUUAAUCAAAGCUUGUAGAAUCAAAGUUAGUCUAAAAGGUAUAAAUAAUCAAAGCAUGAGCAGUAGGGCUGAUAGUUAAGUUUAGAAUCUGUUUCUAAGUUACAGCAAUUGUAACUCAUUGGUUCUUGGGUCCUUUUAUUGAUGGAGGCUGACAUUUUGUCACAAAUUCUUCUAGCUUUAGCUAUAAUUAUCUCUAAAUUUUUGAUAAUGUAGGAUUAUUUAUUUUGAAAAAUGAAACUCUUUUAAAUUUUUAUAUAUGAACAACAAUGUGCACUAUGUUCGUAAAAACCAGUCUCAGCAUCAUUUGAUUAGUUGGUAACUUGGAUAUACAUUGCAGCACAAAACCUCUCCAGCACUGCAGUCGGGCUUUUAGGCAUAACUAAAACAGUCAGUGAAGAGAAAGUCAUCCACUCACAGCUUAAGCAGCCUGUAUUUUGGUGGCUGCGUUGAGGUACAGUGCCUGGAAGGAAGGCCAGAGCUGAGAAGGACAGGCCUGUGCCACGUUCAGCAACCGGCUGACUUUUUAACCUCUCGUCAGGGUUACUGGGGGCCCCUCUGGGAGGGGACAGGCAGAGAUGACAAGUCUGGCCAGAGAGGAGACAAGUGCCCCGAGAUCCUUAGUCCUGCUGGAUCAGCUGAUAGGACAGGCCAGGAUGGGUCUGAACUCCGGGGCCUUGGCCUCAGAGGGCAGGCAGUCUGACCUUCAGUGGUCCCCUGUGCAGUGGGGCAUGGCAUGGGUGCUUUUUAAGGCAGUCCCUCCCAAAGUGGCCUGGCUUGUGGCAGCGAUAGCAGGUGGGUGUCAUCAUCCAGUUCUUCGUGAAACCCUGAGAAUCAGACUUAAGAUCUGUGGGUUCUUUUUCUUUUUCUUUUUCUGUUUUUGGUCCUAGGGAUUGAACUCAUGACCUGGCACUUGCCCGGCAGGCACUUUACCGCUCAGCUAAACCCCGGGCCCGAGGUCCAUAUUUUUUAAGGCCACAAUAAAGGCAGCCAUUCCGUUUUCUCUCUCUGGUUUUCUCCCAGUCCUGAUUACAGAGUACUAAGGAAGCUGUUUUUACUAAGUAUCAAGUGAACUGUCUGGAGCAAAGGCCAUCUUUCAUAGCUUUUUCUAAUAUCUGUAGUUCACUGAGUAAUAAACAUAUCUUUAAGCAAAAUCUGUCCCUCUAUGGAAUCAGGAUCUAUUGACAUACAUUUUAUUAUUGCCUCUGAUAAAUGAUCUAAGAAGUCAGAGGGGUUUUCACUUUUUUCCAGAGAAAUAGCUGACAACCUAAAAUAACCAGAAGCCUUGGUUUCUGUCCUUCUUAGACCUUCAAAAAUACAUACUUGAAAAAGUCUCCUGCUCCAAUCUCCUGUAUUGUUGUCCGGCCCCUGGGGUCUUGGGUGGGGACUGCUUGUGCCCCAGUGGGAACUGGUGGUUCCCGGCUGUCUAUCUUCUAGCCUUCUAAAAGUAACAGAUGAUAUUUAAUAUCCAAAGGCAAUAGCAGCUUGUAAGCCUGCCUCCUUCUCACUAGAAGUAAAUAUCUGAUUUAAGAGCAACAUUAUAUCUUUCCAGCCUGGCUCCUAGGUCUGAGUAAAUCUUUUAAAGACGUCAAUGUACUUGUCUGGGUCAUCUGAAAAUUUUCCUAGUUCUAGCUUAAUUUGCUGUAAGUCACUGGAGAGAGACCUGUGAACCGGAGUGGUCUCAUAAGGAUUAUCAUUAUACCUGGAGCAUAGAUAAGAAUUACCUUUUAACGUGAAGAAAAUUUUAACAUACUGCAGUUGUAACCAUUUUUCCUCUUUCUUGCAAUAUGAUUUCAGUUGUAAAAGAACAUCAUAACUAAUACUUCCUUCUGCGUUCCUCUAGGGGGUAGGUAGGCCACACACACCUGCAGAGAAAUGCUAACCGCCCUUUAUGAACGUGGAAGGGUCGGACACCUUCCAGUGCUUAAGAGCCCAUUCCAAAGGACUGAGGGGCUCAGGCAUGGAGCUGCCCAGGGCUGUAAUGUAAAUAAAAGCAAGGCAUACGCGUAUGAAACCUUUUUUCAGGACCAGGAACCGAACUCAGGAACUUUCCUGAGCUCUGUCCCUAGCCCUGUAGUACAUGAAACUUUGAAAUCAAGCUAUGUGACUAUGCAAAAAGCAGACAAGUGGGGCGUCCCUUAUUGUUCCUAUUUGAUAAAUGUCCUCAGGCGCCCCUGGGGUUGAUUCUGCUCCAGGGCAGGUGGAUGUUCUCUGGAGAGAGUGGAAGAUAAAUUCAUCCACCCUGACCUGGCGGCCUGCUGGCCCGGUGAGCAAUCUUAUCUUCCCAGGUAGCUUGUGAACUUUGUUUCCCUAAGAAUGCUUAAAGAAGGCAGCAUAACUUUUUGCUUAUUGUACAAAGGUGAGGUAAAACAUUUCUUGUUUUGUGAAGGAGAUUCCCUGGGAAAUAGAGACAACAAAUAAACUUGAGGAACUCUACCCGAGGCCUUCAGGCACGUUUUUCAAGGCAUCUGUGUCCUCUAAUUAUCUAGGGACUCUUUUCCAGUAGAGGGACAUGGCUAUACUUUUUAAAAUUCUUAUAACUUUGAAGUUCACAGAUUAAACUUAUAAACUAUCAUCUAGCAAUCACAUUUUAUCAGUCUUCUAGGCACACAGAAAAGGCUAUUUACUCAAUAUAUAUAAGGCAAAAAUGCAAAGCAUUCUCUGCUAGUUUCUUUUGAAAUUUAAAAAGCCUCAGCCUAAUUUUUGAGAUAGUCGAACUGCCUGAAAAGUUUGGGGAACGCCUUUAGUUUACUAGCAGAAAGACCUAAGUGGAUAGGUAAGGGGAGGUUUUUGCGGUUGGGGAGCCAAGGCCACAGAGGAAAGCUUGGGCAUCUGGGCCUCAGUUGUUCUCAGUUUGCUCUGGCCCACACAACCAGAGAUCAGUCUCCAGAAAGGACCGCAGCUGUCCGUCUGGUCGAUACUCCGUGACUCCACUGCCCACUGGCUUCAGUGGGGCUUCACCAAACAGACGCUGGGGAAUCUGUCCUCUGCUUUUAGGAGCGACAGCUGUCACAGUGAUUAGCUGGCAGAGUAACCACCAUGUGUCAAAGUUCUGUAAAGCGCAGCUAAAAGCCUGAGCAAGGUCCUUACUUAGUGCUUUGUGAAUUUACAAUAAAGGUUUAAAGUCCACAGCUUGAAAGUUUGGAGAGCCUCAGCAUUCUAACUGUGUGUGGGAGCCGUCCGUGUGCUGCUUCUGCUGUCACUUGGAAGCCGGUUCUCCCCACCGUGUCUCAGCUUCCAUCUCUCAAAGAGAUGUUUCCCAGAACAGUAAGCCGAGACCUGGCUUUUAAGUGCGUUCUCCCAGACGGGCACAAUCCCGAGGUCUCAUCCGACCCACAGAUGGGGUGCAUGACCCUUGUUUCAGAUGACUUCCCUGUCUUCAGGGUUAGCAAACGCUCACUUCUAUGGGCUUAACUAAGAGGGAUGUUGGGAGCCGCGUCUGUGAUAGCUCGCCUUGCGCGGCGGACGUGCGGCCUGUGGUAAAGAGCAAAGCCUGAGGUAGAUUACCCCUCCCAUCGAAUAUGUUAGUUUCCUGCUUACCGCGUAAACAACCCGCUCAACAAUAUAGUCUGCCUGGCAACUGAUGAUGUUAGCCAAUCAGCUUGCCUUGCUUACUUUAACAUGAUUGGACACUGUACCCGUAUAUAUACCGGUGCCACCCCUGGGUGGAAGAAGAAGCCAGGUAGAAGCCCAGAAGUAAAAGCCCAAAAGGAGCCGCGGAGAGCGGACCGGUAGAGGCUUUGGGGCAGACUGAAGCACAAAAGGAGCCGCGGGGAGCGGACCAGAGGAGGCUUCAGCUGGGAGAACCCAGGGCAGGCUGUACGGAGAAGGAAAAUAAAAAGAAAAGGUUGUCCACUACCAGACUUUGUCGUGUGUCCUUCCUGCCGGCCGGGAGCGGACAUCGACAUUUGGUGGCCCGUACGGGGACUGAUCACCCCCGAGACGUGGAAGUGGACAACGCUCCAGUACAGAGCUGCGAGACAGGAACCGGGACGAGAACCACUGUGGAUACCGGAGAGACUGACACGGGCAACAAAGCCCUCGACUGAAGAUCAGACCUGCCCUACUGGAGAUCCAUCACAGACCAACCAAUAAGAUGAAUAGAAAUAGCGGUAGCCCGAAAUGGACAAGAAGAUCCUCAGGCAUAUGCAUGGCUUGCUCAAUUGGCCCACGACCGAGUCUAGAUAUGGCGGGCAUCCCUCAUUCUCCUCCAUAAGGUGACAAUACACAGCAGGGUAGGUGAGUCAAUGACGGGUAAGAGCGUGCCUCCCCAGCACGACUCGACCUAAGCCAGGCCCUACCCCAUCCUGCACGUAAGCCGCUGGACUGUUAGAUGCUGCCCAGGUCUAAAUUUCUCUCCGAGGGGAUUUCUUUACGGAGAGGAAAUGAGUGCAAGCUUGUGUGCAUCCAGGUUCCGUCCAGUUUGUGCCUGGCCCUAGAAAAAGGACGAGGGCCUCAGGGCCUUGGCAGACCAUGGCAUGGCCAACCAGGGUCUAAGCCAAGGACCUACGGUGGACCUACACAUAGGGCAUAAGCCUCUGCACCCAGUCCAGGAAGGGCUACGAUGCGCACAUUCAUAAAAAAUAAAAUAGGGGGAGAUGUUGGGAGCCGCGUCUGUGAUAGCUCGCCUUGCGCGGCGGACGUGCGGCCUGUGGUAAAGAGCAAAGCCUGAGGUAGAUUACCCCUCCCAUCGAAUAUGUUAGUUUCCUGCUUACCGCGUAAACAACCCGCUCAACAAUAUAGUCUGCCUGGCAACUGAUGAUGUUAGCCAAUCAGCUUGCCUUGCUUACUUUAACAUGAUUGGACACUGUACCCGUAUAUAUACCGGUGCCACCCCUGGGCGGAAGAAGAAGCCAGGUAGAAGCCCAGAAGUAAAAGCCCAAAAGGAGCCGCGGAGAGCGGACCGGUAGAGGCUUUGGGGCAGACUGAAGCACAAAAGGAGCCGCGGGGAGCGGACCAGAGGAGGCUUCAGCUGGGAGAACCCAGGGCAGGCUGUACGGAGAAGGAAAAUAAAAAGAAAAGGUUGUCCACUAC